UAGAGUACAAGCUGCUAAGUUAUUGGGUUCUAUGCAACAAGUUAGCUCCCAUUUCUUAGAGCAGACCCUUGACAAGAAGCUGAUGUCAGAUCUGAGGAGGAAGCGCACGGCGCAUGAGAGAGCCAAAGAGCUCUACAGCUCUGGGGAGUUUUCAAGUGGCAGAAAAUGGGGAGAUGAUGCUCCCAAAGAA